ACGUCACCUCCACUUGAAAACAUCAAGAUGGCGUCGCCGGGAGUACUUCAAACUUAAAAUCAGAUCAAAUGUAUAUCAAGUGUUAUCCAUCCUGAUAACACCUCCACAAAUAGAGACUGGAACUUCUGAGCACCAUCACCUUGUCUGCUUUGGGACUGUCAUAGGAGAAUGAUGCAGUACUUUUCUGUGUUGAAUUUACAAAACGUCAGUACACAGACAUAGUUUUGUUCCAGUUUUGCUGUGCUCAUGUCUUCUUUGUGUCCCCAGCCCAGCAAUCAGAUGCAUCAGAACAACAAAGCACAACUGUGGUGGCCCAGGCACCUUCAGCAACAAAGAUUUAACAUCAUUGUCAGUCAGGAGCAUAUUUAACAGGAGGCACACUUCAGCUGGCUUGAUGGUGACUUCAGUAAGUGUGGUUGACCCUCU